GCCCGUUUGGCUUAGCGGUAAAGCGCAUCACUAGUACCUAUACCUACAAAUGAUGAGAUCCUAGGUUCGAUUCCUAGAACGGGCA